UUGCUUCAGCAGCACAUACACUAAAAACUGGAAUAAUACAAGAAUAUUAGCAUGUCUUCUGCACAAGUAUUACAUGCAAAUUUGUGAAGCAUUCCAUAUUUUA